rnacentral:rRNA from 1 species
GACGAACGCUGGCGGCGUGCCUAACACAUGCAAGUGGAGCGACGAACCAGGCUUCGGCCUGGGGCAAAGCCGCGAACGGGUGAGUAACACGUGGGUAACCUGCCCUGAUGAUUGGGACAACCCGAGGAAACUCGGGCUAAUACCGAAUGUGCCCUCCGGCCUCAAGGCCGCUGGGGAAAGGAAGCUUCGGCCUCCGCAUCGGGAUGGGCCCGCGGCCCAUUAGCUUGUUGGUGAGGUAACGGCNCACCAAGGCGACGAUGGGUAGCUGGUCUGAGAGGACGAUCAGCCACACUGGGACUGAGACACGGCCCAGACUCCUACGGGAGGCAGCAGUGGGGAAUCUUGCGCAAUGCGCGAAAGCGUGACGCAGCAACGCCGCGUGGGGAAGAAGGCCU